rnacentral:rRNA from 1 species
CACGCCGUAAACGAUGGGUGCUAGGUGUCACGGGUAUUGACCCCUGUGGUGCCGCAGCUAACGCAUUAAGCACCCCGCCUGGGAANACGCGAAGAACCUUACCUGGGCUAGAAAUGACAAGAAUCCUGCGGAAACGUGGGAGUGCUCGCAAGAGAGCUUGUUGUUAGGUGC